GACAGAGGGGGCAAGCGUUGCUCGGAAUCACUGGGCGUAAAGGGCGCGUAGGCGGGAUGGCAAGUCGGUCGUGAAAUCCUUCGGCUCAACCGAAGAACGUCGGCCGAUACUGCCGUUCUUGAGGGAUGCAGAGGAGAUUGGAAUUCCCGGUGUAGCGGUGAAAUGUGUAGAGAUCGGGAGGAACACCGGUGGCGAAGGCGAUCUUCUGGACGGAUACUGACGCUGAGGCGCGAAAGCUAGGGGAGCAAACGGG
rnacentral:rRNA from 1 species